rnacentral:rRNA from 1 species
CGGGGUGAGUAAUGCUUGGGAAUCUAGCUUAUGGAGGGGGAUAACUACGGGAAACUGUAGCUAAUACCGCGUAAUAUCGAAAGAUUAAAGUGUGGGACCGUUCGGGCCACAUGCCAUAGGAUGAGCCCAAGUGGGAUUAGGUAGUUAGUGAGGUAAAGGCUCACCAAGCCGACGAUCUCUAGCUGGUCUGAGAGGAUGACCAGCCACACUGGGACUGAGACACGGCCCAG